rnacentral:rRNA from 1 species
GAUGAACGCUGGCGGCGUGCUUAACACAUGCAAGUCGAACGAAGAUGCCGGGAGUGCUUGCACUUUGGCAGACUGAGUGGCGGACGGGUGAGUAACGCGUGGGUAACCUGCCUUAUACAGGGGGAUAACAGUUGGAAACGACUGCUAAUACCGCAUAAGCGCACGGUAUCGCAUGAUACAGUGUGAAAAACUCCGGUGGUAUAAGAUGGACCCGCGUCUGAUUAGCUUGUUGGUGAGGUAACGGCCCACCAAGGCGACGAUCAGUAGCCGGCCUGAGAGGGUGAACGGCCACAUUGGGACUGAGACACGGGCCCAAAACUCCUACGGGAGGCAGCAGUGGGGAAUAUUGCACAAUGGGGGAAACCCUGAUGCAGCGACGCCGCGUGAGUGAUGAAGUAUUUCGGUAUGUAAAAACUCUAAUCAGCCAGGGGAAGAUAAAUGAACGGUACCUGACUAAGAAGCACCGGCUAAAUACGUGCCAGCAG